rnacentral:rRNA from 1 species
UACGGAGGGUGCGAGCGUUGUCCGGAAUCACUGGGCGUAAAGGGCGCGUAGGCGGCCUGGUAAGUAGGGGGUGAAAUCCUGCGGCUUAACCGCAGGGCUGCCUUCUAAACUGUCAGGCCCGAGCACGGUAGAGGCAGAUGGAAUUCCCGGUGUAGCGGUGGAAUGCGUAGAGAUCGGGAAGAACAUCAGUGGCGAAGGCGGUCUGCUGGGCCGUUGCUGACGCUGAGGCGCGACAGCGUGGGGAGCAAACAGG